UGGGAUGUAGCUCAGUGGUAGAGCAUCUCCUUUGCGGGCAGAAGGUCCCAGGUUCUAUCCCCGGAAUACUAA